CAAUAGCGUAUACUAAUGUUGUUGCAGUUAAAAAGCUCGUAGUUGAACUCCUGGUAGGAGUGUCCCGGCCUUUUUGUUUUUACAAAUUGUAUGCUGUGUGACAUCUCUGGCCAUCCUUCUUCUUUGUUUAAAGAAGAUCUUUCACUGUAAAAAAAUUAGGGUGUUCAAAGCAAAAGUUUCUUUGGAAUAUAUUAGUAUGGGAUGAUAAGAUAGGCUCUAGAUGCUAUUUUGUUGGUUUGCACAUUUAGAGAAUGAUUAACAGGGACAGUUGGGGGUAUUCGUAUUUACAUGUCAGAGGUGAAAUUCUUGGAUUUUGGAAAGACGAACUACUGCGAAAGCAUUUACCAAGGAUGUUUUCAUUAA
rnacentral:rRNA from 1 species